ACUCUCGGCAACGGAUAUCUUGGCUCUCGCAUCGAUGAAGAACGUAGCAAAAUGCGAUAGCUGGUGUGAAUUGCAGAAUCCCGUGAACCAUCGAGUCUUUGAACGCAAGUUGCGCCUGAAGCCGUCAGGCCAAGGGCACGCCUGCCUGGGUGUC
rnacentral:rRNA from 1 species